rnacentral:rRNA from 1 species
UACAGAGACUGCAAGCGUUAUUCGGAUUCACUGGGCGUAAAGGGUGCGCAGGCGGCCGUGUGUGUGAGGCGUGAAAGCCCGGAGCUCAACUCCGGAAUUGCACCUCAAACUACACGGCUAGAGCAUUGGAGAGGGUAGCAGAAUUCACGGUGUAGCGGUGAAAUGCGUAGAUAUCUGGAGGAAUACCGGUGGCGAAGGCGGCAUCCUGGACCGACAUUGACGCUGAAUACCGAAAGCUAGGGGAGCAAACGGG